UACGUAGGGGGCUAGCGUUGUCCGGAAUCAUUGGGCGUAAAGCGCGUGUAGGCGGCCCGGUAAGUCCGCUGUGAAAGUCGGGGGCUCAACCCUCGAAAGCCGGUGGAUACUGUCGGGCUCGAGUACGGAAGAGGCGUGUGGAAUUCCUGGUGUAGCGGUGAAAUGCGCAGAUAUCAGGAGGAACACCGAUUGCGAAGGCAGCUCGCUGGGACGUAACUGACGCUGAGACGCGAAAGCGUGGGGAGCAAACAGG
rnacentral:rRNA from 1 species